rnacentral:rRNA from 1 species
UGAACGCUGGCGGCAGGCCUAACACAUGCAAGUCGAGCGGAUGAAGGGAGCUUGCUCCUGGCUUCAGCGGCGGACGGGUGAGUAAUGCCUAGGAAUCUGCCUGGUAGUGGGGGAUAACGUCCGGAAACGGGCGCUAAUACCGCAUACGUCCUGAGGGAGAAAGUGGGGGUCUUCGGACCUCACGCUAUCAGAUGAGCCUAGGUCGGAUUAGCUAGUUGGUGGGGUAAAGGCCUACCAAGGCGACGAUCCGUAACUGGUCUGAGAGGAUGAUCAGUCACACUGGAACUGAGACACGGUCCAGACUCCUACGGGAGGCAGCAGUGGGGAAUAUUGGACAAUGGGCGAAAGCCUGAUCCAGCCAUGCCGCGUGUGUGAAGAAGGUCUUCGGAUUGUAAAGCACUUUAAGUUGGGAGGAAGGGCAGUAAGUUAAUACCUUGCUGUUUUGACGUUACCAACAGAAUAAGCACCGGCUAACUUCGUG